rnacentral:rRNA from 1 species
UACGUAGGGUGCAAGCGUUGUCCGGAAUUAUUGGGCGUAAAGAGCUCGUAGGCGGUUUGUCGCGUCUGCUGUGAAAACGCGAGGCUCAACCUCGCGCCUGCAGUGGGUACGGGCAGACUAGGGUGCGGUAGGGGGAGAUUGGAAUUCCUGGUGUAGCGGUGGAAUGCGCAGAUAUCAGGAGGAACACCGAUGGCGAAGGCAGAUCUCUGGGCCGUAACUGACGCUGAGGAGCGAAAGCGUGGGGAGCGAACAGG